rnacentral:rRNA from 1 species
AACAGGAUUAGAUACCCUGGUAGUCCACGCUGUAAACGAUGUCGACUUGGAGGUUGUUCCCUUGAGGAGUGGCUUCCGGAGCUAACGCGUUAAGUCGACCGCCUGGGGAGUACGGCCGCAAGGUUAAAACUCAAAUGAAUUGACGGGGGCCCGCACAAGCGGUGGAGCAUGUGGUUUAAUUCGAUGCAACGCGAAGAACCUUACCUACUCUUGACAUCCAGAGAACUUAGCAGAGAUGCUUUGGUGCCUUCGGGAACUCUGAGACAGGUGCUGCAUGGCUGUCGUCAGCUCGUGUUGUGAAAUGUUGGGUUAAGUCCCGCAACGAGCGCAACCCUUAUCCUUUGUUGCCAGCGAUUCGGUCGGGAACUCAAAGGAGACUGCCAGUGAUAAACUGGAGGAAGGUGGGGAUGACGUCAAGUCAUCAUGGCCCCUACGAGUAGGGCUACACACGUGCUACAAUGGCAUAUACAAAGAGAAGCGACCUCGCGAGAGCAAGCGGACCUCAUAAAGUAUGUCGUAGUCCGGAUUGGAGUCUGCAACUCGACUCCAUGAAGUCGGAAUCGCUAGUAAUCGUGGAUCAGAAUGCCACGGUGAAUACGUUCCCGGGCCUUGUACACACCGCCCGUCACACCAUGGGAGUGGGUUGCAAAAGAAGUAGGUAGCUUAACCUUCGGGAGGGCGCUUACCACUUUGUGAUUCAUGACUGGGGUGAAGUCGUAACAAGGUAACC